UUGCGGGGUAGAAGAAAUGCAAAGCAGGUGGGUCAAAGACCAUUCCUUAGAGAAGCGGCCACUAAGUCCCAUUGAGCUCAAGAAAUAAGGCCUUCAGCGUUGUUGGUAAGAGUUAGCUAGAGAAAGGGAGAGCCACAGGCUGGAAGGCUCAGAGGGGAGAAAAACUGUUAAAGAAUAGUAAAAGACAAGAACAGUUGCAGAGUAAUUCAAGCAGGUAUGGUUUUGAGCACAUUGAUUAAAAUAUAUUUACUUGCCACAUGUCCAUGCUAAGGCUAUAAUAAGGAAUCCAGAGGAAGUGGCCUCCAUCUGUGUUCUGCAAAGGACACCCAUCUGUUUACUGGGGAUCCUGUGUAGUUUAGGAGCAGCUUGAGGAUAUUUAAUGCAUUUUCUACUUGUGGGUUUUAAGUUCUUAUCAGAUGAAUAGAAGCUGAAAGCUGUUGGCCAGAGUGGAAAAAGGAAUGGAGGAAGAGAGAUGGAGUUAACAAGAGAUUGGAGUUAACACUCCAAAUGCCAGUCUCAAACCAACAGAGUAUAUUUUUCCCCUUUUUCCUUGAUUUAUCUCUUCUUUUCUUUUUUUAAACUGGCAGGUUUGUUUUUUGCUGUUUUAAAUUAGUUCAUUGUAUUCUUCAUGGUCCAAAAACUCCAAAGGUUCAAAAAAAGAUUGAUGUGGAAACAAGGGAAAGAACAUUCAGGCUGAAAUGAAGAGAAAGGACAUUAUAAGCGAGUAACAGGAGAAUUAAAACAUGAAACUUUCUGCAUCUCAAGAUAAUAGUAAUGCUCCUUCACGGCAUCUACUUCCUGGGGAACCUAACUGCAAACAUUGCUCCAUCCUCCUAACCCUGAGGGAACAUUGGACUCCACUGCAAGAUGUUUGUGUAGUUUGAAAACGUCUCCCAAGAUCCUGUUCCCAUCUCAGUGAUCCUGACAUUUCCCGUGGGGAUCAGUGUAAAGUACCACGGCUUUUUCCUAAAGAGGAGAGGCGUGAAGGAAACACCAGUGGUGUGCUCAAAACAUGAACAACUACCAUGUGGAAAAAAUGAAAAAAAUGAGAACAAAUCAACAGAUGAAGAAACUAAAGAUCAGAGGGUCAGAGAGGUUGCAAGUGACUCUAUAACUCAGUCUCUUCACUAUACCAUACUGCCUCUAAGAGUUGUGAUGCAAUCAAAUUAAUCUGUAAAUUAAAUAUAUUUUAAACAAUGUAGU